CAGCAGCCGCGGGAAUACGUAGGUCCCGAGCGUUGUCCGGAUUUAUUGGGCGUAAAGCGAGCGCAGGCGGUUAGAUAAGUCUGAUGUGAAAGCCCACGGCUCAACCGUGGAGGGUCAUUGGAAACUGUUAAACUUGAGUGCAGGAGAGAAAAGUGUAAUUCCUAGUGUAGCGGUGAAAUGCGUAGAGAUUAGGAGGAACACCAGUGGCGAAGGCGGCUUUUUGGCCUGUAACUGACACUGAGGCGCGAAAGCGUGGGGAGCAAACAGGAUUAGAUACCCCAGUAGUCCCUGUCUCUUAUAC
rnacentral:rRNA from 1 species